UGCGCAKCUAUACAUGCAAGUCGAGCGGACAGAUGGGAGCUUGCUCCCUGAUGUUAGCGGCGGACGGGUGAGUAACACGUGGGUAACCUGCCUGUAAGACUGGGAUAACUCCGGGAAACCGGGGCUAAUACCGGAUGSUUGUUUGAACCGCAUGGUUCAGACAUAAAAGGUGGCUUCGGCUACCACUUACAGAUGGACCCGCGGCGCAUUAGCUAGUUGGUGAGGUAACGGCUCACCAAGGCRACGAUGCGUAGCCGACCUGAGAGGGUGAUCGGCCACACUGGGACUGAGACACGGCCCAGACUCCUACGGGAGGCAGCAGUAGGGAAUCUUCCGCAAUGGACGAAAGUCUGACGGAGCAACGCCGCGUGAGUGAUGAAGGUUUUCGGAUCGUAAAGCUCUGUUGUUAGGGAAGAACAAGUGCCGUUCAAAUAGGGCGGCACCUUGACGGUACCUAACCAGAAAGCCACGGCUAACUACGUGCCAGCAGCCGCGGUAAUACGUAGGUGGCAAGCGUUGUCCGGAAUUAUUGGGCGUAAAGGGCUCGCAGGCGGUUUCUUAAGUCUGAUGUGAAAGCCCCCGGCUCAACCGGGGAGGGUCAUUGGAAACUGGGGAACUUGAGUGCAGAAGAGGAGAGUGGAAUUCCACGUGUAGCGGUGAAAUGCGUAGAGAUGUGGAGGAACACCAGUGGCGAAAGCGACUCUCUGGUCUGUAACUGACGCUGAGGAGCGAAAGCGUGGGGAGCGAACAGGAUUAGAUACCCUGGUAGUCCACGCCGUAAACGAUGAGUGCUAGUGUUAGGGGUUUCCGCCCCUUAGUGCUGCAGCUAACGCAUUAAGCACUCCGCUGGGGAGUACGGUCGCAGACUGAACUCAAAGGAAUGACGGGGCCCGCACAGCGUGAGCAUGUGUUAUCGAAGCACGCGARGACCUUACAGGUCUGGMMUCUCKGACAUCCUARARAUAGGACGUCCCCCUUCAAGA
rnacentral:rRNA from 1 species